rfam:Lachnospiraceae bacterium 10-1 genomic scaffold acPFo-supercont1.8, whole genome shotgun sequence.
GGGAUAGUAAAGGUUUCGACAGGGGCUUUGCAGCUGGAGAAGCUAUCCGCAGGCGAUGCGUUAAAUCGCAAAAAUAAAUAUAAACGCUGAAGAUAAUUUAGCAUACGCUGCCUAAUGGCAGCUGUCUGACCUAGUGCACCUACACAUUAGAAUUCAGGCAUCGACUAUGUAGGAAACGACACAGGUUAAGCUUUGCGCCUGUGGGCGUAUUAUGAAGCUACUGAAUAAAUCGGGGUGUCGGUUUCCUGAUUUAGGAGGGAAUGAGGGUUACCCGAAAUAAUCGACUAUGAUAGUAGAAGGACAGGGAAUGGGUCUUUGGACGCGGGUUCGACUCCCGCCUAUUCCAUAA